rnacentral:tRNA from 1 species
GCUCAGUCAGUUAAGCGGUUAAACGUCUGCCUUUGGCUCGGGUCAGGACCUCACAGUUCGUGGGUUCAAGCCCCACAUUGGGCU